UGGGGAAUAUUGCACAAUGGGGGGAACCCUGAUGCAGCAACGCCGCGUGAGUGAAGAAGUAUUUCGGUAUGUAAAGCUCUAUCAGCAGGGAAGAAAAUGACGGUACCUGACUAAGAAGCACCGGCUAAAUACGUGCCAGCAGCCGCGGUAAUACGUAUGGUGCAAGCGUUAUCCGGAUUUACUGGGUGUAAAGGGAGCGCAGGCGGUGGGGCAAGUCAGAUGUGAAAACCCGGGGCUCAACCCCGGGACUGCAUUUGAAACUGUCCGACUAGAGUGCCGGAGAGGUAAGUGGAAUUCCUAGUGUAGCGGUGAAAUGCGUAGAUAUUAGGAGGAACACCAGUGGCGAAGGCGGCUUACUGGACGGUAACUGACGCUGAGGCUCGAAAGCGUGGGGAGCAAACAGG
rnacentral:rRNA from 1 species